UACAGAGGGUGCAAGCGUUGUUCGGAAUUAUUGGGCGUAAAGCGCGUGUAGGCGGCUUUGCAAGUCGGGUGUGAAAUCCCUCAGCUUAACUGAGGAAGUGCGCCCGAAACUGCCGAGCUUGAGUACCGGAGAGGGUGGCGGAAUUCCCCAAGUAGAGGUGAAAUUCGUAGAUAUGGGGAGGAACACCGGUGGCGAAGGCGGGUCUCUGGGCAAUUCCUGACGGCUGAGGCGCGAAAGCGUGGGGAGCAAACGGG
rnacentral:rRNA from 1 species